rnacentral:rRNA from 1 species
GACGAACGCUGGCGGCGUGCUUAACACAUGCAAGUCGAACGGAAAGGCCCUGCUUUUGUGGGGUGCUCGAGUGGCGAACGGGUGAGUAACACGUGAGUAACCUGCCCUUGACUUUGGGAUAACUUCAGGAAACUGGGGCUAAUACCGGAUAGGAGCUCCUGCUGCAUGGUGGGGGUUGGAAAGUUUCGGCGGUUGGGGAUGGACUCGCGGCUUAUCAGCUUGUUGGUGGGGUAGGGGCUUACCAAGGCUUUGACGGGUAGCCGGCCUGAGAGGGUGACCGGCCACAUUGGGACUGAGAUACGGCCCAGACUCCUACGGGAGGCAGCAGUGGGGAAUAUUGCACAAUGGGCGGAAGUCUGAUGCAGCAACGCCGCGUGCGGGAUGACGGCCUUCGGGUUGUAAACCGCUUUCGCCUGUGACGAAGCGUGAGUGACGGUAAUGGGUAAAGAAGCACCGGCUAACUACGUG